rnacentral:lncRNA from 1 species
AUGUUUACCAAACCAGUCCACGACCAUAUGUGUGCCGCAGUUUCUCCACAGCGUACUGCACGUGAGUUGAUUGGCUUAACACACGAGAUGCAGAAUGGAGAUGCAAGCAGGAUUGGAGAUUGAGAAGGAAGGAAAAUGUGGGAGCAAUAAAAAAAAAGAGGAGAAAGAGGGCGAGAAUUAUUUUUCAUUGUACUUUUCAAGCAUGCUCCCUUUGCGGUAAAUGUUGAUGAGAAAAUUCCCAGUCAUAUCAUAGCAGUUUUCCUACAAUGCAGAAAAUUCAAGCACAAAUUAGAUGAUCUAUGUCCUUCAGAUGCUUGAACUUCUAAUCAUCCUGAAGCUUAUUCAUACGAUAAAUGACAAGUUUAUCUAAUGAAACAAACCAUUUGAGUUUUAAUGUUAAAGUCAGAUCUAGGAUGUUUAGUACAUUUUGAAAAUUUUCAAUAUAGAACCUCAAAUGCAACAUAUUCUUGCUAGAGCCAGGAAAUAAUUCUAUCCAUCAAAGAGGGAAAAAAAUCAUAACUUUUUAUAUAGUUCUUAGAUCUAUUUAAAUAGUUGUGAACUCUAAAAUGAUUCUUUAUAAUAAUAAAAAUACAUUUUAGCAAAAAUGAAUUUCUGUAUAAUAUUUUAUUCAAAAGUUUUUGUUCUGUACAUUUAAUUAUUUAAAUAAAACAUCAAUGAGACAAA